UUGAUGAACGCUAGCUACAGGCUUAACACAUGCAAGUCGAGGGGCAGCAUGGUCUUAGCUUGCUAAGGCCGAUGGCGACCGGCGCACGGGUGAGUAACACGUAUCCAACCUGCCGUCUACUCUUGGACAGCCUUCUGAAAGGAAGAUUAAUACAAGAUGGCAUCAUGAGUCCACAUGUUCACAUGAUUAAAGGUAUUCCGGUAGACGAUGGGGAUGCGUUCCAUUAGAUAGUAGGCGGGGUAACGGCCCACCUAGUCUUCGAUGGAUAGGGGUUCUGAGAGGAAGGUCCCCCACAUUGGAACUGAGACACGGUCCAAACUCCUACGGGAGGCAGCAGUGAGGAAUAUUGGUCAAUGGGCGAGAGCCUGAACCAGCCAAGUAGCGUGAAGGAUGACUGCCCUAUGGGUUGUAAACUUCUUUUAUAAAGGAAUAAAGUCGGGUAUGCAUACCCGUUUGCAUGUACUUUAUGAAUAAGGAUCGGCUAACUCCGUGCCAGCAGCCGCGGUAAUACGGAGGAUCCGAGCGUUAUCCGGAUUUAUUGGGUUUAAAGGGAGCGUAGAUGGAUGUUUAAGUCAGUUGUGAAAGUUUGCGGCUCAACCGUAAAAUUGCAGUUGAUACUGGAUAUCUUGAGUGCAGUUGAGGCAGGCGGAAUUCGUGGUGUAGCGGUGAAAUGCUUAGAUAUCACGAAGAACUCCGAUUGCGAAGGCAGCCUGCUAAGCUGCAACUGACAUUGAGGCUCGAAAGUGUGGGUAUCAAACAGGAUUAGAUACCCUGGUAGUCCACACGGUAAACGAUGAAUACUCGCUGUUUGCGAUAUACAGCAAGCGGCCAAGCGAAAGCGUUAAGUAUUCCACCUGGGGAGUACGCCGGCAACGGUGAAACUCAAAGGAAUUGACGGGGGCCCGCACAAGCGGAGGAACAUGUGGUUUAAUUCGAUGAUACGCGAGGAACCUUACCCGGGCUUAAAUUGCAGAUGAAUUACGGUGAAAGCCGUAAGCCGCAAGGCAUCUGUGAAGGUGCUGCAUGGUUGUCGUCAGCUCGUGCCGUGAGGUGUCGGCUUAAGUGCCAUAACGAGCGCAACCCUUGUUGUCAGUUACUAACAGGUCAUGCUGAGGACUCUGACAAGACUGCCAUCGUAAGAUGUGAGGAAGGUGGGGAUGACGUCAAAUCAGCACGGCCCUUACGUCCGGGGCUACACACGUGUUACAAUGGGGGGUACAGAGGGCCGCUACCACGCGAGUGGAUGCCAAUCCCAAAAACCUCUCUCAGUUCGGACUGGAGUCUGCAACCCGACUCCACGAAGCUGGAUUCGCUAGUAAUCGCGCAUCAGCCACGGCGCGGUGAAUACGUUCCCGGGCCUUGUACACACCGCCCGUCAAGCCAUGGGAGCCGGGGGUACCUGAAGUGCGUAACCGCGAGGAGCGCCCUAGGGUAAAA
rnacentral:rRNA from 1 species